AGCAAAGGUGUUAUGGUCUGAAUUGUGUUCCCCCCAAAAUCCAUACGUUGAAGUUCCAACUCCCAGUACCUUAAAAUAUGACCAUAUUUGGAGAUAGGGCCUCAAAGCAUGAGAUGAAGUUAAAGUGAGGUCAUUGAGGGGUCACCAUAAUUCAUUAUGACUGGUGUCCCUUUAGGAAGAGGAGAUUAGGACACAGACACACACAGAGGGAAGACCAUGGGAAGACACAGAGGGAAGAUGGCCAUGGAAAAGCUAGAGAGAGAGAGUUCUCAGAAGAAGUAACUCUGCCAACACCUUGAUCUCAGAUUUCUAGCCUCCAAAGAGGCAAAGAAAAUGAAGUCAUAAAAUCGGGAACCUGCAUUUGCUUCCAGGAAUUGUCAACAUCCUUUAACCUGAAGAACUGUUUCAAAGGGACGUGUGGAGUUGGCCAGAACUAUCCUUAAGCAGUACUUUAUAUUUAUCCAGAUAAUUAGCUGAAACCUUCAAUUUUCAUGUCAUAGAUUUAAUAGAUAAUUUAGUCUUUAAAAUUCUAAAGCUAGUGUUAGACAUUAGCUAGUUUAAUUGAGAUAGAAAUUAAUUAAGCUGACUAACUUAGGGCUGCCAUAAAAUGUUAGCUAUAAAGAGUUCUGCCCCCACUCCCAGGUUAUUGAAUAAAUUAUCUUACAUAGUCCUUUCUAAGACUGUAGUCAAAAUUAUUAUGUGAAGUUUUAUAAGCAAUAAUACUAGGCUAUUUUUCCGUUAUUCAUUUUCUUGUCAAGCAAUUACUUUUAACUGAUUUUUAAACAAUUUUUAAUCAGUGGACUCCAGAAAAGAAAUGGUUUUAGUUUUCUCCAAUCAUAACCUUUUACCAUGUUGGUGAAUUUCCUUUUUUUUUUUUUUCUUCAUUCCUAAAUGACCACUUUGGAAAAUCCUUAGAUUUUAAUUUCUUUCAAUUUUUAUAAAUUUCAAUUGGGUCUAGUCUUUUGAAAAAUUCCAAUUCCAUAUUCAGUUGAAAGCUUUGUGACCUCUUCCUUUUCCAUCCAAAGUUGUUUAAACUUGUACUCAUAUGACCCGGAAUACAGAUAAGUCAUCCUCUGGGAUAAUUAAAUGUCUUCACUACUUUCCUCUUGUAGGAAUGGGAGAGGACUUUUCACUAACACGGGUCACCUGACAACAUACUUCGUGGCAGGACUGCAAAUUUUGAGCCUCGUGUGUGCUUGUUAUGGAGAACCUUGGGGGCCUCCAACUGCACAGUUCACUCUCUUUGGAGGUUUUCUGUGCAGGACUUCUUCAUUUUGCACAUCACCAUCCCCACUACCACAGUGCCCUAUACUUUACCCACAGGAAUCUUACAAAUGGGGAUACAUUAGUCAGGGUUCUCCAGAGGGACAGAACCAAU
rnacentral:lncRNA from 1 species